AGAGAUUUUGCAGUUGCAUCUUCCAACUUGCAUAUCAGACAACAAGUGAUGUUCCUGACAGCAAGUAGAAAACCAAGCUAUUAAAAAUUUCCUGUGUUUCCUCCAUGGCUCUGUCCCAACAAUUGUUGCAGCAGGAGAAUGAGAGUGGCUUUGCUUCAUGGCUGACCAUGGACAACACUGGUAUUGUCAGAGAUGGCAGAGUAGAAGGACAAGCACUCAUCUUCUCCGAGAACUUCAAAAUUGCAACUCACUGCUAAACAACCAUCACAAGGAGAAGGUUGAAUCCCACCAAAAAAAGAUACCCCGCAUCCAAGGUCAAAGGAGAAGCCCAGAAAAGACUGUAAGAGGUGCGAAAUCACAUUUAGAAUCAAACCUCAUAUCCGCCGGAGAUGCUCGGAGGGCUCAAACAAAACCUUCUGCACACCAGGACCCAGAGACCCCGUAGAGACUGAGCCAGACCUACCUCUGAAUAAGUGUCUCCUGUAGAGGCAUGGGUCAACAGUGGCCUGCCAUGGGGACGGGAUGAGGGCUCUGGAUGCAGCAGACCUGGGAAGCAUGCUGUGUGGCCUAAGUCCUCUUGGAGGAGAUCGCCAUUAGGCCCACCAUUGAGCCACUGAGCAGACAACCCACAAACUGGAGAACUAUUAUACCAAAGAAGUUCUUGCACUGUUAUAGAAGUUCUAGGACCCAAUCUGGGAUCCAGCAAAAGGACUGAGAACCCCCAGGGAAUUUGACUUUGGAGGCCAGUGGGAUUUGAUUACAAAACUUCCACAAGACUGGGGAAACAGGCUCUUGGAGGGCACAAAAAAACCCU